rnacentral:rRNA from 1 species
CCUACGGGUGGCAGCAGUGAGGAAUAUUGGUCAAUGGACGAGAGUCUGAACCAGCCAAGUAGCGUGAAGGAUGACUGCCCUAUGGGUUGUAAACUUCUUUUAUAUGGGAAUAAAACGUUCCACGUGUGGGAUUUUGUAUGUACCAUAUGAAUAAGGAUCGGCUAACUCCGUGCCAGCAGCCGCGGUAAUACGGAGGAUCCGAGCGUUAUCCGGAUUUAUUGGGGUUAAAGGGAGCGUAGGUGGAUUGUUAAGUCAGUUGUGAAAGUUUGCGGCUCAACCGUAACAUUGCAGUUGAAACUGGCAGUCUUGAGUACAGUAGAGGUAGGCGGAAUUCGUGGUGUAGCGGUGAAAUGCUUAGAUAUCACGAAGAACUCCGAUUGCGAAGGCAGUUCACUGGACUGCAACUGACGCUGAGGCUCGAAGGUGUGGGUAUCAAACAGGAUUAGAUACCCUGGUAGUC